rnacentral:rRNA from 1 species
GGCUACACACGUGCUACAAUGGGUAGUACAGAGAGUCGCAAACCUGCGAGGGGGAGCUAAUCUCGGAAAACUAUUCUUAGUUCGGAUUGUACUCUGCAACUCGAGUACAUGAAGUUGGAAUCGCUAGUAAUCGCAAAUCAGCUAUGUUGCGGUGAAUACGUUCUCGGGUCUUGUACACACCGCCCGUCACACCACGAGAGUUGGUUGCACCUGAAGUAGCAGGCCUAACCGUAAGGAGGGAUGCUCCGAGGGUGUGAUUAGCGAUUGGGGUGAAGUCGUAACAAGGUAUCCGUACGGGAACGU